rnacentral:rRNA from 1 species
AACGAACGCUGGCGGCAUGCCUAACACAUGCAAGUCGAACGAGACCUUCGGGUCUAGUGGCGCACGGGUGCGUAACGCGUGGGAACCUGCCCUUAGGUUCGGCAUAACUCCCCGAAAGGGGUGCUAAUACCGGAUAAUGUCUUCGGACCAAAGAUUUAUCGCCUUUGGAUGGGCCCGCGUUGGAUUAGCUAGUUGGUAGGGUAAAAGCCUACCAAGGCGACGAUCCAUAGCUGGUCUGAGAGGAUGGUCAGCCACACUGGGACUGAGACACGGCCCAGACUCCUACGGGAGGCAGCAGUGGGGAAUAUUGGACAAUGGGCGAAAGCCUGAUCCAGCAAUGCCGGGUGAGUGAUGAAGGCCUUAGGGUUGUAAAGCUCUUUUACCCGGGAUGAUAAUGACAGUACCGGGAGAAUAAGCUCCGGCUAACUCCGUG